rnacentral:sRNA from 1 species
CUACGCUCUUCCUCAACUUGUAGGCGUACUCUGCCUCUAAAAGGGUUCAGUAUAGGCACGUGUUGGUUUAAUUUACAUUAGAUUCAACGGGUGCAUUAGAAUAAAUAAUUAGCUAAUCAGAGAGUUGACACAGAGUGCUUUUUUUUUUUUUUUACAUAAUUUAGAAUCUUGAAAAUUAAUUAAACGACUCUGAUAUCUGAGGAAACAACGUAAGACGCGGCCAUUACCUGAUCUACAGUUUGGACUUUCCUUGUAUUUCUUGGACAUACCAAUCAGCACCACUGCCGCAUUCUCAAUGGCCAAGGACAUAGCUUCUAACGUGGAACCACCUAGAAACUCAAGGAAUACAUUGUUAUCACGCAGUUUGAAAUUUUUAACUCAAAGUGAAAAAUAUAUCAAAUCGUUUUCAUAACCAGCAGUGAAAUGUGAUCACUGACUUAUGUUUUCGACGUCCAUCCAUACUUUAAAGCCCGCCUCUUUUAAGGAUUCCUUGACCUUUAGCAUCGUUGACUGGGAAUCCCAUUGGUAACUUAUCAUCACAUGGGGUCGGCAGUCUCCUUUUAAAUUAUACAUACAUGUAUAUGUUUAACAUAAACCGGUACACUAUUUGUU